rnacentral:rRNA from 1 species
GCCUGUUUAUCAAAAACAUCGCUCUCUGAAUAAACAAAGAUAGGGAGUCGGACCUGCCCAGUGAAAUAUUUAAACGGCCGCGGUACUCUGACCGUGCAAAGGUAGCAUAAUCAUUUGCCUUAUAAUUGAAGGCUAGUAUGAAUGGUUUGACAAGAAUAAAGCUGUCUCUUCAAGAUUUAUUAGAAUUUGAUUUUUAGGUGAAGAGGCCUAAAUUGUAUUAAAAGACAAGAAGACCCUAUCGAGCUUUAAAAAAAUUAAUAGAUUUAAAUUUAAUAUUAACUAAAAAACCAACUAUUAAAAAUUUUGGUUGGGGCGACUAAGGAACAAAAAAAGCUUCCUUUAUUACUUAAAAAUUAUAGCUGACAAGCAUUGAUCCAAAAUCUUUGAUCAAAGAAAUUAGUUACCGUAGGGAUAACAGCAUUAUCCUUUUUGAGAGUUCUUAUCGAAAAAAAGGCUUGUGACCUCGAUGUUGGACCAGAAUAUCCUAAAGAUGCAGAAAUCUUUAAGGGUUGGUCUGUUCGACCAUUAAAAUUCUACGUGAUCUGAGUUCA